AGCCCCCUCGGCAGGCAGCAGUGAGGAAUAUUGGUCAAUGGGCGGAAGCCUGAACCAGCCAAGUCGCGUGAGGGAAUAAGGCCCUACGGGUCGUAAACCUCUUUUGCCGGGGAGCAAGGGCGGGGACGUGUCCCGGCCCGGAGAGUACCCGGAGAAAAAGCAUCGGCUAACUCCGUGCCAGCAGCCGCGGUAAUACGGAGGAUGCGAGCGUUAUCCGGAUUUAUUGGGUUUAA
rnacentral:rRNA from 1 species